GAGUGUCUUGGACUCCCUCCUGACUUCCUAUCAAACUACAGAAAUGAUCGUUCUCGGGACUCAUUGAUGGGCCUCCACUACUUUCCAGCGACAGAAGAUGACAACACAGGAAAACCUGCACAUGAAGAUCCUGGCUGCUUCACUAUUCUCUACCAGGAUGAAAUCGGAGGCCUUCAGGUGCACAAAGAUGACCAGUGGAUAUCCAUAGCGCCUUCCAAAAACAAACUAGUUGUUAACAUUGGUGAUGUCAUUCAGGCAUUUAUAAUUCCACUCUUGGUUAUAGAUUUCACAUUUACCAUUAUCCCAAAAUUUUAACUUCUUAUGUUGUUGACAUAUAAAAAGGUGCUAAGCAACAAUAAAUUCAAGAGUGCAACUCACAAAGUGGUGAGAUCAAGUGAAACAAACCGUUACUCGUACGUGUUCUUCUAUAAUGUGCACGGAGACAAGUGGGUUGAGCCAUUACCACAAUUUACAAAGGAAAUUGGAGAGUCGCCCAAGUACAGAGGAUUCGUGUUUGAAGAAUAUCAUCAGUUGAGAUUCAGAAACAGGAGUCAUCCACCAGCUAGACCUGAAGAUCUCAUCCAUAUAACACACUACUCAAUUUCUAAUUAGAGGACAAGUUUUAUCUAAUGAAAAGUUCUCUCUAUAUGGAAAGAAACAUACCAAUAAUAUGUAUUACGUCACUCCUAAUAUGUAUGUCAAAGUGUGUGACCACCUCAUUUAAUAAUUUAAAUGAGCACACAUUUAUUUUCUAAAUUAUGUUAAACACGUCUUUCACCGUACAAGUCUGAUUUAUUGAAUAGGAAUCCUCAAUUUAUAUCUAUGUGUCUUGCUGCUGCUUGUUGUUACUGAUUCAAAAUAAUCAAAUUGCAGAUCUUGUUUCUUUUCUUUUCCGAAUAACGUCAAGUACUACUACUCCUUCAUAUUGUUUACUUUUGUUGACAAUGCAUCUGUUUUAUAAAAUCUAACUCCCUAUUAAAGCUAUAUGGAAUCCAGAUUAUUGAGAUUUUCUUAUGAACAAAUCCUUGAUACUGCUAAAAAAAUACUUCAGACAAAUGAGAAAGAGUACUAAUUUAGAUUAAUCUGUAAAUUAUAAUAGUAAAAUGAGGUGAAAUCACGUGAAGUUGAUAAAUUGAAGGAUCCAGUCCCUUUUUCUAUGGGGAGUUAAAUUAUUUGAGUUAAUUAAUAUGUAACUAUACUUGUCCUUUUUAAUAAUGGAAAUCAAUUUUUUGUGUGUAAUCUUGUACUAAUAAGAUUUGUCUUAGCAAUAUUGAAUGUUGUAAGUAAUAAGGUUCUUUAAAAGUCAACAUGGAUAAUUCACUGAUUCCAAUAAUUGAUCACUCCCCGUUCUUUCUAGGAGAUGAAGAUGGCGAGAGAAAGACGAGGCAAGAAAAUAACAUUUUAAUCACACCAAAUAAUGAAGGAAUCCGUUGUUUAAGAAUGACUUAAUUUUUUGGAGUUAAACAAGGAUUUCAAUAGACUAAAGGAGAAAGAAAAAACAUAAGUUCAUUACAGGGGUUGAGGGGCAUUCCCCACUGGAAAAGUAUUGCCGUUUUAGUAUAAAAUUGUUCUAAUAAAAAAAGUUCUCACUAUGUCUGCUUGUAACGUUACUAAGGCGCACACAAGGGAACUUCAAAAAUAAUAAUGGGGUCCCCAAAGCUUCAUCCCUAAGAAGACUUUCAAGAUGAAUAGCAUUAAAGAGCCUUUUUUUUAGGUAAGAAUUUAAUUUUGGGAGAAAUAUAAAGAAAGAGAAGCAUAAUGGUUUUUUUUAAUUUUUGUUUAUUAACUAUGGGGUUUAUGUUUAUAAGAUGACAUAAAAAAUAAUUUAUUUUGUCAUGUCAAAUUUAUGUUAAUAAUAUUCAAUGACGAUUGAUAUCUACUUAAGAUAGAGAGUCCCACUAUGCCCAAGACUAUGAGGUUCUUAGCUCUACUUAAUUUCUUCCUUGUAAAUAUCUUUUUUGGUACCACUAACUUGUAAGAUCAGAAAAUGCUUAUAAAUUAAACUCAAAAGAAAAUCCAAAUAUAAGACUAAGAAGAGUGAAGAGAAUUAAGAAAAAUAUCAUGGCUAGUUUUGAUAUUCCAACAAUUGAUGUUUCUCCAUUUUUUAGAUCAGAUGAAAAUGGAGAAGGGAAAACGAAGGCUAUUGAGCAAAUUAGAGAAGCUUGUGUUAACUUUGGUUUCUUCCAAAUUGUGAAUCAUGGAAUUCCUUUGGAGUUGUUGAGCCAAACCAUGGAUAUGUAUAAGAAUUUCUUUGCUUGUUCUGAUGAAGAAAAACUCGCGGUACCUUCUGAUAAUUAUUUAAAAAGCACAAAGAAUUCAGUUGAGAACUUGGUGUUUCGUUUUCCAUUCUCUGUCGUGGAUGUCUGCCCCAACAAACUACCUCAUUUCAAGUACUAAUAUAUUCUCUCUUGAUUGCAACUCAAAUUAGUUGUUUCUAGUUUUUUGCAUUUUCAGAAUGUUGCCUAAUAAAUAUGUUUUGAUAUUGUUAGGCAAGUAUUGGAUGAUAUGAUUUCCCAGUUCACAAAAUUAGGAGUUGUGUUGGAAGGAAUCAUAAGUGAGUGUCUUGGACUCCCUCCUGACUUCCUAUCAAACUACAGAAAUGAUCGUUCUCGGGACUCAUUGAUGGGCCUCCACUACUUUCCAGCGACAGAAGAUGACAACACAGGAAAACCUGCACAUGAAGAUCCUGGCUGCUUCACUAUUCUCUACCAGGAUGAAAUCGGAGGCCUUCAGGUGCACAAAGAUGACCAGUGGAU
rnacentral:lncRNA from 1 species